rnacentral:lncRNA from 1 species
GAUGACUUCAGGGUCUAGGGUCUACUUGUCAACAUGUGAGUCUCUGCUCCAAAAAAAGCUGAGCUUCACUUCCACUGCCCCAGGUGUUGACCUCCAUACCUGAGGCUGCCUCUGCUCAGAGAAGACAUCAGGAAGAAUAGACAGCCAGGCACCAUGAGGCAAAGUGUGCUGAUGAUGGUGAUAGUGAGGAUGGUGAUGCUGUUGAUAAUAAUGGUGGCAAUGAUUGCAAUGAUGAUGGUGACAGGUCACAAGGAGUGAAAAGGCAGUAGUGAAUCCAAGGUUGUGCCCAGGACUCACUUUUGGAUCACAAGCUAUAGGUGAAGCCAAGAGCAUCAUAGAUCCUCUCAGAUACCUCCUGGGCAUGAGAAGUGGGAGUGGAUCAGAAGUUGGAUUCAACCUUAUUUCCAGGUUCUAUCUGCCUUGAAUUUUUGAGACAAGGUCUCUUCCUUGCCUGGAACACACCAAGCAAGCGAGGCUGACGACUGCCUAGCAAGCUCCAGGAUCAACUGCCUCUGCUUCUGCAGUGAUAGGAUUACAACUUGAGCCACUGUGCCUGCUUCCUCCCACCCCCACCUUUAAGAUGGAUGGCAGCACCUCUGAGAGCCGAGAAAUCUGACCCAGAGCCAUAGCUGGGCUCAGGACCAGGUGUUCUGGUUUGGUAAUGGCGUCCCCUCCAGAAGACAGCUGAACCUGGGUCUGAAAUGCAUCGGCCAUGUGUCUGUGCUUAGACUCUAUUGUAGUCUUGUAGUCAUUGCUGGAGCGGCGGCGGCAUUUGUGGCUCAAGGGAACUCAAGUUGCUGAUCACGUAAGCCUCUGUGUGCCUCCAUCACCACCCAGCAAUAUCUGUUUCUCUUGGGAUUCCAGAUCCUGUCUUCCAUUUGCUUAAAAUCAAAUGAGGAGCCAGCUGUGGUACACACCUGUAAUCCCAAUGCACAGGAGGAUGAAGCAAGGAGGAUUUCCCAGCCUAAACUAUCUAACAAGAUUCUGUCAAAAUAAAUAAACAAACAAAAAUUAACUCUGUC